GGUUUGUCAGUACGCUAUACUGAUGAGUCCCAAAAUAGGACGAAACAGUUG
rnacentral:hammerhead_ribozyme from 15 species